rnacentral:misc_RNA from 1 species
GAAGAGGAGGAAGAAGUAACAGAGGUAACUCUGGAAGAGGAAUCCAAAGAGGCCGUGGACAAGGGAAACAGAUGAGGGGUAGAGGAGGAAGGGAUGGAAGGGGAGGAAGGGGAGGUUUUAGAGGAAGAGGAGACAACAGAGAGGAACUGUCACAGAUUCGUAACCGUCCUCAACCACUGAUAGAUCUCCCAAUCCCUCCCCCAUUGCAACAUUCAAACCCAUAUCCAGAUGUAAACAGUCAGACCGCCCAGCCAAUGAUGGGACAGGCUCCCUUAACCCGACCACCAGCAGGGCCAUAUCAACAGUAUCUUCAACCUCCUGGACAAUGGGCCCAACCACAACCAGGCCCCUUUUACCAACAGGAUCAUGCGUCUCAAUACCCACAGCAACUUGGUAGGGAGGGACCUUUUCCUCAAACUAGACCAGGCCCCUCUUACCAACAGGAUCAUGAGUCUCAAUACCCACAGCAACUUGGUAGGGAGGGGCCUUUACCCAAAACUAGACCAAAGAAACAGACAAAUAAAGACCAGAAAGCACCCGUUGAAAAAAAUACCGAUGAAAUUUGUAUGCAUAAAUUUCGAAAGUGCCAACAGGGUGACAAAUGCGGAAAACACCAUCGACCAAUGAUCUACCAAUGGCAGCAUACAGAGACUGAUGUACAAGGACAGCAGUCAUGGAAAGACUUUGAUAAUGCCACCAACACUGAACUGGAGAAGACGUACUCUGACCCGGGAGAAGAAUGUUGUCCUGUUGCCUACAGGAAAGGAGAUCUUGUCCGUGUCAGUUUUGAGGAAAUGACAGGCUUGAGCAAGAAGACCAAGAUCUCAGUGCGGCGACUGUCUACUCCGUCAUCCAGUUCUCCCAGGAUGCAACCUUCACUGUAUAAGUGGGCAACUCAAUGGCGAUGGUACUGGGAAGACGAUUCUGGAACUUGGAUGGAAUAUGGCAAAACGGGCACCGGCGGAUAUACCACCGAGACCAACAGUGACAGUAUAGAGAGUGCAUACCAACAAGACACAAAUGGAUCCCUCGACUAUGGAACGACUGGGUUCAGAUAUAAGCUGAUGUUUGAUCAAAUGAUGCAGACAAAUAUGUCCACUUCUAAAGGACGACGCGUCAGAAGACGGCCUCAGUUCGUCACCAAGGAAGAGCUUGGAAAGAGGCCAAAUUUUGACCCCCGCAGGAAGAAGCAGUUAUGUCCACGAGGGUGGAGCAUUGGUCAAACAAAUGAGGAGAAGUUGUUCAAGCAUUACAGCAAAAUGAUGAUCAGCAACACUACUGAUGAGUUCCAGAAGAUAGCGAACCUGUUCCUUGAAACUCUGCCAAACAAGACGAUAGUCUCACUGGAGCGCAUAGAAAAUGGAGAACUUUGGAUGAAUUUUGAUGGACGGAGAGAAAAGAUGGAGAGGCGAACUGGAAAGCCUGCAGCAGAACGACAACUGUUCCAUGGAACAACGGAGGAAACGGUAGAAGCCAUAUCAAAGGAAGGGUUUGAUUUUCGUUUUAGCGCCACGAGGGUAGGUGCUAUACACGGCGCAGGCAGCUACUUUGCAAGAGAAGCAAAAUAUUCGGAUUCCUAUGCAGAGCAAUCUGCGGGUGUAAAGAGAAUGUUCGUGGCACAAGUACUGGUGGGGGAGUUUACACAGGGGAGCCGAGAUCUCCGGCGACCGCCCCCCAAGAGUCCUGAUAAUCGACAUGACUUGUUCGACUCCUGUGUGGAUGAUGUGAAUGAUCCAAAAAUAUUCGUCAUCUUCACAUUAGAUCAGGUCUACCCACAGUACAUCAUCACAUAUAACUGAUUGUGAAGCCCAUUUCUGGUGUCCCCCGCCGUGAUAUAGCUGGAAUAUUACUAAACGCGGCGUAAAACUAAACUCACUCACACUUACUAUUUUUUUAUAUAUUCUAUUGUACUUAUUUUUAUAUAUUCUAUUGUACUUGCUUUUAUAUAUUCUAUUGAACUUAUUUUUAUAUAUUCUAUUGUACGUAUUUUAAGCACAUAUUGUCUAAUGUGUGCGUGUGUGCUUACAAAGUCCUAUAUAUAUUUACAUAUGUCAUGUUAUACCUUCUUUUGUAUAUGUAGUUUUGUGCUUGGUUUCAUACACUUACUUAGAUUCUUAUGUGUAUUUCUGUUCCGAAAUGUUUUAAUGGCUUUCAGUAUAUUAAUUCCUUAUAUAUGAGAUACACCUUGCAGGUAUAACUAGAAUUCCUAUCCCAUAAUUAGCAGGUGAGACACACCUUUGCAGGUUUAUAAUGCCGAAUAUUUAUCGCAUGGAAGACAAAUCUUGCAUGUGCAUACUGAAGAUUACAUUUCCCCACACCAUCUUUUUUAUGCUUUUCACCCCCAGGUAUUUGGAUUUACUUACGCAUACUUAUAUAUAUUCACUGUCUAAUGUGUACUUACAUGUACAUGUAUAUGUAAAGUCUUCUAGUUAGCCUACUUAUGCUUGUCUUCUUUCGUAUGUGUUGUUGUGUACUUUGUUACAUGUACUUGCCUACUUUCUGAUGUGUAUGUGUUCAUACGUAUACAUACUUUCGUAUUUGAUCACUUCACCGUCCUUUUUAUAUACUCUCCCAAAAUAGAAACGCAUUUGCCACAACAGCUAUUGAAGGCAACGCCCAAAUGGGAAGGGAGUUUUUAUAAGCUAUACAUGUUGAUAAGGCUUUCUAUCUUUUAUACUCAGAAAUGUGGCUGCGACGUUACAUGUAUUAUCUCACUUUAAAGUUAGCAGAUUAAUUUCGUGAAAAUAAAAUAAUGCGUUUCUUUUUUGGGAGAGUAUAUGUUCCAUUGGGCACUCUUUAUAAUGGCAACUGCUUGUUCUCAAAGUCAUGUAUAUUAGACACACCUUGCAACUGAAUGUAGCAGGAUCCCUACCCCAGUCCCUACUUAUGACAGAUACCUUGCAGGUGUAUAAUGUAGAACAUUAUCCCAGGAAAGUACGUGAUCUAGACUACCGUUGUCAUUUCGUGGAAGCCGCGUAGGCUGAGUGCGUUAGAUCACUGACGUUGUGUGCUGGGGACUAGAUGUCUCACUUCGAGUAUGGUUUCAAGGUCCGGAUGGGACUCAACCCCAAAAAGAACAUGAAUCUCUACUUUACUGAGAAAGUGUAAUCCCAAAUAUAACAUAUGUAGUAUAUCCCCAACACUUGCAUAUGAAACACACCUUGCAGGUGUAUAUGCAGAAUACGUAUACGUCUACCUUCAUAUGAGACACACCUUGCAGGUGUAUAUGCAUAAUAUAUGUCCGUCUCCUUGCAUAUGAGACACACCUCGCAGGUGUAUAUGCAGAAUACGUAUUCCCCUCACUGCAUAUAAGAUACACCUUGCAAGUGUAUAUGCAGAAUACGCACCCCUCUCCCUUCAUAUGAGACACACCUUGUAGGUGUAUAUGCAUAAUAUAUGCCCCCCUCUUGCAUAUGAGACACGCCUUGCAGGUGUAUAUGCAUGAUACGUAUCCCCCUUCCUGCACAUGACAGUUGCAAGUGUAUAAUGUACAAUACUCACCAACUGUAUAUGCAGAAUACGUACCCCUCUUCCUUCAUAUGAGACACACCUUGCAGGUGUAUAUGCAUAAUACGUAACCCCCUCCCUGCAUAUAAGACACAUAUAUGUUUAAUACGUACCCUUCUAACUUCAUAUGAGGCGCACCUUGCGGGUGUAUAUGCAUAAUAUAUAUCCUUUUCCUUGGAUAUCAGCAGAAUGCAUAAAGUAAACUUCAUUACAUAAAUGUGUAUCCCUCUCCCUUCAUAUGGGACACACCUUGCAGGUGUAUAUGCAUAAUACGUACCCCUCUCCCUUCAUAUGGGACACACCUUGCAGGUGUAUAUGCAGAAUACGUACCCCUCUCCCUUCAUAUGGGACACACCUUGCAGGUGUAUAUGCAGAAUACGUACCCCUCUCCCUUCAUAUGGGACACAUCUUGCAGGUGUUAAACAUAGUCUACUUCGUAGAAAUCCUACCCUGCGUGGUAGUAUAGCAAACUAGUUUACAUUUAGUUCUAAAGUACACCGCCAUUUGCCGCCACGUAGACUGAACUCUGUCCUUUAAGUUACGCUUGACAUAACAUCAUUGUAUAUUCUCCGAUACUGUAGCGCUUACUAGCUUCUCAAUACAUCUUCUUUGCUGUUGUCGUACCUUAAGACUAAAUAUACUGCUCAAAAGAACUGAGGGGCAACUCGAUUGUUUCAUAGUGCUAUUGUUAAUCUGUCAUGACAGAAUAGACUGGACCUUAAUUAGACUGACAGAAUGAUAACAGUAAAAUUAGUCGGGUCAUCCUCGAGUUCGUUUGAGCACGAUAUAUGUUCACCUUUGUUUUGAAUAAUCUACUGUCUGCAACAUGUUAUAAGUUUUAUCAAUAUUUGAAAUUGUCUACCCGGUUGGUUGGAGAGAGAAACGCUUUUCGGACUCUUGUGUAAUGAAUACCGAUACCAACCAAAUGAAGGAUUCUGAAAUGUCUGUAUGGAAGCAAAAAUAAGUUUGUAUUGUUGUAGCAUUAAAAUUAGAAUAAAGGUUGUCAGCAGCUUUCCCUUUCAAGUGUU